AGAGUUUGAUCCUGGCUCAGAUUGAACGCUGGCGGCGUGCUUAACACAUGCAAGUCCAACGUGAAAGGGGAGCAAUCCCCCGGUAGGGUGGCAAACGGGUGAGUAAGACAUGGGUGAUCUACCUUAGGGAUGGGGAUAUCCUUCCGAAAGGAGGGGCAAUACCGAAUAUUGUCCGGGACCGAUGAAGGGUUCCGGGGAAAGGGGAAGGGCCUCUGAUACAAGCUUUCGUCCUUAAGAUGAGCCCACUGGCCCAUCAGCUAGUUGGUAGGGUAAAGGGACCGUACCAAGG
rnacentral:rRNA from 1 species